CGCGUCAGAAUGUGAACUGCAGGACACAUGAACACCGAUAAGUUGAACGCAUAUGGCGCAUCGGACGUUUUAACGCGACCGAUGCACACAUCCUUGAGUGCCUACUCGGUACAAAUCAUAAAUAUAGCAUACCAUUAGACUUCAGUCGGACGUCGCCAAAGGGACGCUGGUGGAGCCAACGUUCGGCGUCCGCUGUGCAGCAUGGCGUACUGGGGGGUGGGUCCCUGCCUAGCGUAGGGGCACCCUAGGGCGCUGAAAAUGGAUGCCGCAUGUGUUCUCGGUGUCAACGUUAUGGUAAGGGUGUGUGUCAAGUCACGCACGGUUCGACAACAAGCGUACUGGGCCGUCUUUGAUGCAAACGGAUGCCUACCACCAUAGGCAGAGCCGUCGUACAUCAACUCGCAAACCCAGAGAUAGUAAGCUGUUCGACACACGCGUGUCAGUCUAUUUUAAUCGGAUGCCAUCGGUGCACCAUUUCGGUGCGUGUAUUGCGGAGCCGACAAUAGACCGAACCGUCGAAGAGCAAGUGCUUGCGUCGUGUAACGCGUCCCUGAGUCUUGCACACCGCCCGCUUGAACCAGCACGUUGAGCACCAACAGAAAUAUAAGAGAGACACACCUUCUAUAGUGCGGCUAAUGCGAAUUUAUAAUUUUCCGUAGGCCUCAAGUGAUGUGCGACUACCCCCUAAAUUUAAGCAU
rnacentral:rRNA from 1 species